CAUUUUGUUUUAUAUAUAAUUAUAAUAUAUAAAUAUAGCAUUCAGAUAUUAUCCAUCCUAAUCCAAAUAAGAAAUGCUAAACAAUACAAAUUAACUCUGAAUUAACACUUAACAAAUGGCUCCAUAACAGUAAUAAUAGCAUGCCUGUUUGUAGGUUAUUUCCAUGUGCUUUUUAAUACAUUACUAAGUGCCUUUAGCAUAUUUAAGGCUCACAUUAAUUCUACGAUGUAGAUACAGUUGUUAUCAUCUGCAUCUCCAGAUGGGGAAACCGCUAGGUAGACAGUUUAGGUGAUUUGGGGCAGUAAAGCCAAGAUUCAGAGUUGCACAGCGUGGCUCCAGAGUUUAUUCUCUUAAACAUUACAGUCCAUUUAUUCUCUAUACAUGACACAUUGAGUCACAAAAAUUACCUUCAAUACUAUAGUAACAGUUGUGGUAGCAAAGUAAAUGUAUUGUUGCAAAUAAUUAAAAAGGCAUUUAAAAAUUUACCAUAUUAUUAAAGUUGAUAAUAAAAUCCACCUGUUUAGCUUUAAGCUUUUACAGUUAAUACUAUUAACAUAUAACACAGAUAGUUUAUUUUUUGCAAUAUUCAUAACAUCAUAACAGCUCACCUGUACUUAAGGAUUGUGACUUAAAUUUUAAUCCAAAGGGGUCUUUUUCAUAAGUUGUCUUAAACUCAGGUAAACCAGGUUGGUACUAGAUAUGUAAAGAAAAGUUUGCAAUAUUACCAAUACAUACAUUGUUUCUUAUUGUAGUUGGAAUUUGAUUUUUCCUAAUAGCAAAUAUUUCAUUUGCAAAAUGUAAUUUUGACAAUUUUGUUGUGGCAUUCAAAUGUAGUAUUUAAAACUUGUUUAUGAAAAUUUGAAAGAAUAAUCUAAGAUUUAAAUAGUUUACAAACAAUUCAUUUUGUGGUGGAGAGGAGUACGUCAAUUACCCUUUUGUGUAUAGAUCAGAAAUAUUAUCUUAAACAGCGUGGAAUUAAGGGAGUCUGUUCAAAAUUUGGCAACUUAAUCCUAAACUUGAUCUUAAUUUAUGACAGAUAGAAUUACAUAUUAUUUUUCUGGAGCUGAACUUAUUUCAGCAAUGUAGACAAAAUAUUGAACAAAGCUAAAUAAUUUGUCAAACUUGGAAUAGAGUUCCUAUUGUUUUUUUUUAAAUAAGCUAUAAACAAAGUAACAGUUUUAGUGGUUUUAAUGAACCAAUUUUAACUGAAAUAGAAUUUGUACACUCCAUGAACUGAUCAAAUAAAACAUCACAAAGGUCUCUACUCAAAAGCUAAGUAAAUGUGGCAUGAAACAGUGAGAGUACCAAGCAGAAGUUAAACAGGAUUCUAUUCUUAAUGCGUCAACUGCCACAAGCACAUAGAAUAAUAUUAAAAGUUCCGAAGAAGGAGAUUCUCUAAUACAAUAUUUUUGAGUCUUUUUUUUUUUUUUGAGACGGAGUUUCCCUCUUGUUACCCAGGCUGGAGUGCAAUGGCGCCAUCUCCGCUCACCGCAACCUCCGCCUCCUGAGGCAAUUCUCCUGCCUCAGCCUCCCGAGUAGCUGGGGAUUACAGGCACGCACCACCAUGCCCAGCUAAUUUUUUGUAUUUUUAGUAGAGACGUGGUUUCACCAUGUUGACCAGGAGGGUCGAACUCUUGACCUCGUGAUCCAACCGCCUCGGCCUCCCAAAGUGCUGGGAUUACAGGAGUGAGCCACUGCCCACAGCCCCGAUUUUAGAGUUUUAAUUGAAUUCAACACGAAACCAAGUUCCUUUCAAAAAAGCCUUCAUUGAGGUUUAAUUUGUGACAAUACUGACAUCUGGUGGUUACAUAAUUUAUAACACUCUGCCUCCAAUUCACUCAUUUAUAGAAGCAAGUUAAUUCUGCUAAAAUAAAAAUGUCCCCCAUUCCUUGAGUUUUAUUUACUCAAAUUUUGUAAGUCUGUGGUUAGUAAAGUACUUAUUUUUAAAAUAUAUUUAUUUUUAGACAGAAUCUUGCUCUGUUGCCCAGGCUGGAGUGUAGUGGUGUGAUUUUGACUCACUGCAACCUCUGCCUCUGGGGUUCAAGUGAUUCUCCUGCCUCAGCCACCCAAGUAGCUGAGAUUAUAGGGGCAUGCAACCACGCCUGGCUAAUUUUUGUAUUUUUAGGAGAGACAGAGUUUCACCAUGUUGGUCAGGCUGGUCUCAAACUCCUGACCUCAUGAUCUGCCUGCCUUGACCUCCCAAAGUGCUGGGAUUACUGGCAUCAGCCACCAUGACUGGCUUACUAAAGUCUUUGAAUAAACCACUGACAUUUAAUAUUUAAAUGACCUUCCUCAUCUCCACAAGGUAACAUAUGUUAUUUACUAUGAAUCAAAGUAUUUAGCUGCCCUGAAAACGUGAAGAGAGUUAUUGACUAUGGCUCCCUGGAUUUUCCAAAUAUUCUCCUAAUAGUUCAUAGAGUUAACAUUAAUUGAAUACCUUAACAUUUCAAAUUCUGCUGUGCUUUGCAUAUGUUUCAUUUAUAACUUAAAAUAACCAUAUAAAAUAUGUAGCAUUGCUAACCCACAUUAUAAAUAAUGAAAAAGGCUUAGUAUCUUGUCUAAAGUUAUUAGAAAGUAAAAGAGCAGGGAUACUCUGAUCUCAGAAGCCAUGCUCUUAACUACUAUUCUAUACUUUCCCACAGGAAUACAUUUAUUCUUUUAUCUCACUAUUUCUAGAUCCUGGACUAUUAGUUCUACUGUUAAACUCUUUGCCUAGCAAGAGUCAUUUUAUGUGCUAAAUUAGAAACCUAAGAGUGUAAUAUAUUCACAUUUUAGUGGAAUUAUAUUUGGCAUAAAUCAUAUUUGACCUUAUUUGCAUCUCCAUAUUCUUCAUCACCCUUUCAAAUUAUAAAUCUAAUUAUUGCCCAUACAUUAUUUAAAUUAUUAAUCAUCCAAAAGAUUCAUUAAAAUAAUAGAAUAUCCCUUUUUAACUAUUUUUGUUCAUUCAUUAAUUUACUCCACAUAUUUAUUUUAUUAUUUCUAGAUUAUAAACUCCUGGCAACCGAUGUCUGUUCUCCAAUCAGAUCUAAACCCAAUCUGUUCUCUUGAAACCUAAGAAAGUCCACAUCAGAGUUGGCCACUCGACCUGCCAGAUAAAACCUCAUCAGAAACAAUCAGAAACAGUCUUGCUCUGUCACCCAGGCUGAUCUCGAACUCCUGGCUUCAAGCAAUCCUUCUGACUUUGUCUCCCAAACUGAUGGGAUUACAGGUGUGAGCUGCCACACUCAGCCUCUGCCAUAUAAUUAAUAAGGCAGAUUCCUCCUUCUUUUUAUUAAUCAAAUCCUACACUCAAUAGAUACAUAUCUCUUGCGUGGUAUUUCUGAGAGUAUCCUCUUCUGCAUCUUUAGGGUAAUCUACCUCGACACACAGAAAUGCAAUGAUCACAGAGGCCAGAAGGCUUCCCAGAAGUAGCCAAGGUAUCAACUUUGGGAUCCUGAAUUUCAGCCAAAGGAAACAGGACUGAGUGAAGCCUGAAAUCUUGAGGCAGUAAAACACAGAAAGGCAGGUGGCAAACCAGAGGCUGAUAGAGCUAAAAAACAUCCAAAAAAACAUCAUUGCUGCACCAUAAAUUUUUGCGAUAUAAAAGUUUGGAAAGAACACAGAGAAGAAACUUUGUACCAUUAACACCAUCAGCAGACCAAAUCUAGACAUCCCUAUGCACAUUAAGAGAAUUUGCAUUGGCAUUAGCUUUCUAUGUUUGAUCAAUUCAUUGCAGUUAACAAUGAUAAGAAAUCCAUUUACUGUGAUCCCCGUGAAGAAUUCUGCUGACAUGAUGAUAACAUGAAGAAUAGCUGAAAAAGAGAAGGCCAUGUUUCCUAGGACAAGUCUUGGCUUUUCCUUGUAGAUGGUCCUGAAUACUCCCUCCAGAUGAUCUUGCUGAUGGGAACACACAGCACCGAGAAAUCUGAUCUUCUGUCAGCUCCUGUGUCAUGGGUAGAGUCUUACACUAGCUUUUCCUCUAACGAAGAAAAUCAGAGACUACUUUUUGAAUCUGGUGCUCUUCAGAUGAAACUGGAGGAAUGCAAAUCUGAAGAUUUGAAUGAUGGUUAGGUCUUCCAAUUACAUCCCGGGAAAAAUUGCUCCCUUGGCACCAUUUCAUUCUCACUCUUGCUCAAUUUUGCAACAACAACAAAAAUCUGAUUACAAGCAUGUUUUGCUUUGGUUAUUGACAUUUUGUUUCUGUCUUUUAUUUCCUAAUACUAAAUGCUGCAUCCUGAAGACAGAUACUUAUUUUCUAUUAUUGCCACAAAUAUCCUGUCUCAAAUGUAGCUCUUUCCCCAGAACACUUUUUGACUUAUAAUAAUUUCAAGACACUUUAAUAAAAUGGUCCCUCCCCAUAUCCUACCCCCACUAAAUGCAGUUUCCUUUCCAGACUUGAA